rnacentral:misc_RNA from 1 species
GUAACUAGCAGUGAGAUGAGUCGCUCGUGUUAGGACGUUAUUGGUAGCCUCGACUGACCCGAGCCUGAGCAAGACGGUCCCACCAACGCCAGUGACGACACAAGACCCUGAUCCACACGCCUCGACGACCGACGUGAGUGAUGAUCUGACACCGAACAACACGGUUCCACCAGCGCCAGUGACGACACAAGACUCCCACGCGACUCCAUCACCAGCCACAGACCGCGACCUCUACUCCGCCAGCGAGGACGGUGACCUGGAAAGAGUGAAGCGGAUCCACAGGCAGCGGGUCACGUGGACAUCAACACUAGAGGAGACUACAGCGGGACACCGGUGAUGGCGGCAGCAGUGAGGGGACACAGAGAUGUGGUGGAGUUCCUGGUGGGUAGAGGGGCUGAUGUGUCGCUGGUGAACAGGUACGGUAGCAACGUCCUUCACUACGCCUGUUGGGGUGUAGGAGACCUGGAGAUCGUGAAGCUGAUCGUGUCCCUGAACGUGUUGGACAUCAACGCCAUGAACAACUACGGGAGCACAGCGGUCUACUACGCGAGAUUCUAUGGACAUCAGCGAGUGGUGGAGUUCCUGGUGUCACGUGGUGGACACUGAAGUCAGUGUUGGUGUGGACAGUGACGGUGCACAUGUCGUUACUGACACUGACGAGGUGUGUGCCGUCCACGUUGUCGUGUGUCACGAUUCACGUGAUUUCCGUUUACUUUGUGAAUAUAAAUAAAACUUGUUGAAUGUA